GUUUUAUAUACAUAUAACUCUAUUUAGGGGCUUCCUAACUCUGACCCUGUGGGUCUUUCUUUUCUGGUCUUUUCUACACAAGUAUAUGUGAGGGUUACCCCCCUUUUCUGGUUGCCCCAGACACACACCUUGGCAAGGCACCCCCUCUUAGGGGUUCCUUGCUUUUCUGUUUUUCUAAUGAUAUUUUAAUCCUCAUGAAAAAAGUAUGAUAG